UACAGAGGGGGCAAGCGUUAUUCGGAAUUAUUGGGCGUAAAGGGCGCGUAGGCGGCAUCGCAAGUGGAAGGUGAAAUCCCUCGGCUUAACCGAGGAACUGCCCUCCAACUGCGUUGCUUGAGGCCGGGAGAGGUGAGUGGAAUUCCCAGUGUAGCGGUGAAAUGCGUAGAUAUGUGGAGGAACACCGAUGGCGAAGGCAGCCCCCUGGGUCAAGACUGGACGCUCCAUGCACGAAAGCGUGGGGAGCAAACAGG
rnacentral:rRNA from 1 species